AUUGAACGCUGGCGGGAUGCUUUACACAUGCAAGUCGAACGAGUGGCGGACUGGUGAGUAAGUUAUUGGAACGUGCCCAGUAGCGGGGGAUAACUACUCUAACACUUGGCUACUACCGCUUACUAUUGGUGCGGCCGUUAUCGGAUUAGCUAGUUGGGGGGGUAAAGGCUCACAAAGGCAACGCUCCUCAGCUGGUUUGAGAGGACGACCGGCCACACUGGGACUGAGACACGGCCCAGACUCCUACGGGAGGCAGCAGUGGGGAAUUUUGGGCAAUGGAGGAAACCCUGAUCCAGCAAUCCCGCGUGUGUGAGAAGGCCUUCGGGUUGUAAAGUACUUUUGGCAGAGAAGCGGUAUCUGAAGAAUAAGCAACGGCUAACUACGUGCCAGCAGCCGCGGUAAUAC
rnacentral:rRNA from 1 species